CCGACCUCGACAUUGAAAUAGAACAAACUACAAAUCAAUUAAAUGAUCUCCUACUUCAAAAAACAGCGCGCACUCUACAAACACUCAAACUGAAGCAUUACACCCAGGGAAACAGAGCGGGGAAAAAAUUAGCAUCUUUACUGAGGCAUCACCAAGCCCACUCCAAAAUACCAUAUUUACUCACUAGCACAGGAGAGAAAAUAUACAACCCCAUAGACAUUAAUGAAGAAACAGCAGCCUACUACCAAAACCUGUACAACCUAACAAAAGAUCCCCAAACACAUCAGCCAACACAAGUGGAAAUUGAUAACUUCCUCUCGCAGAUAAAAUUGCCAAAAUUAACACAACAACAGCAGGACUCCCUGAUAGAACCGAUCACACUGACAGAGUUACAGCAAACGAUUCGCUCACUCCCUUCGGGGAAGUCACCCGGGCCAGAUGGCUUCACGAACACUUACUACAAAGUCUUUUCGAACAUCCUGAGCCCCUACCUAGUACACACACUGAAUCAUAUUGUACACACAGGGAAGAUGCCAGCGGAAAUGCUAUUAGCACACAUAGCCACGCUACCAAAGCCAGGGAAACCACCCACGUAACCUAAAAAUUUAAGACCUAUUUCACUGUUAAACACAGAUACGAAACUACUAGCCAAAAUAUACGCCAAUCGUGUAGCGGCCAUAAUCCCCUUUAUUACACACCCGGACCAAGUGGGAUUUGUAAGGGGGCGACAGGGGACUGACGGGACUAGGAAGCUCCACAGCCUCCUCUAUAAUGGGACGCCUCUCGGAGAGCCCAGGGUCUUUAUGUCCCUGGACGCCGAGAAGGCGUUCGACAGACUACACUAGAACUUCCUGAGAACUGUCC